rnacentral:rRNA from 1 species
UGGGGAAUUUUGCACAAUGGGGGAAACCCUGAUGCAGCGACGCCGCGUGAUUUAGAAGGCCUUCGGGUUGUAAAAAUCUUUUUUACGGGAUGAAAAUGACAGUACCGUAAGAAUAAGGUCCGGCUAAAUACGUGCCAGCAGCCGCGGUAAUACGUAUGGACCGAGCGUUGUCCGGAAUCAUUGGGCGUAAAGGGUACGUAGGCGGCCUAGUAAGUUAGAAGUGAAAUAAUAUAGCUCAACUAUAUAAAGCUUUUAAAACUGCUAGGCUUGAGAGAUGGAAGGGAAAGUGGAAUUCCUAGUGUAGCGGUGAAAUGCGCAGAUAUUAGGAAGAAUACCGGUGGCGAAGGCGACUUUCUGGUCAUCAUCUGACGCUGAGGUACGAAAGCGUGGGUAGCAAAAAGG